ACAAGUGUGCAUAUCUUGCCACAAACAUCCUUACAGCUUACAAUUUGUUUUGGUCAAAGAUAGUUAUGUUUUCUUCAAAAGAGGAAGACCCCCGGCCUCUGCAUCUGGGCAAUGCAUGCAGCCAUUUUAUUAAUUAUUCACAAAAGACCUUACAAAGUAAUACAACAGUAAGACUGAAACCACCGUCUAGACAACAUCUGUCGCUACUCCUAUCCAGUUGAUGAAGGGAUGCUGAUCUAGGCCUAAUACCAAACAAACCUCGCAGCCAAACCUAACAUCUAAGACCUGAGACCCCAACCAAGCCACCUGCCGGGUAUGGGGCACCCAUCGGUCCGGCGCACACUCAGAGGCCGCCGCCACCAACCGCCACCAAUCCAUCUUCAGAGCUACUGACGCAUUAACCUUGCCAGGUCUAGCUGCCGUCGACGCCACCACGACGCCAAACAACGCCGCCAUCCUGCACUCGUCCAUCAACACACGCCCAGCAGCGUGAAAUAUUGGAAACGACAUGUUUAGCUAUAUAAAUUAUGUGGGAAAACAAAAAAGCUGAAUCAAAUGCAGACAGCAAUGUGGAAAGAAUCUUCACAUCAUGCAAGAUACUAAAAGAAAAAACUAUGGGGAAAUGUAGGCUUUCCCCAACACAAAGUGUUGUUUGCAGAAUCAAAUGCAGGCAGCAAUGUAAAACUUACAUCUCCUAAACAUCUCUUUUGCGCUGAACCAACAUAGGAACUAUCAGCCUUUCUAUACUUCUAAAGUAGACUGGCUAGCCAUGAGCACUUGAUAACAUCAGACUUGGAUGAAUGAAAAUCAAACGACAUAUCUCAUUUCAAAAAUAUUUACUACUUCAUCAACGAAUUACUGGUGAUAUUGAUUUCAAUACCGGAUAAACAAAAAACAUGAACCAACACAUAUAAAAAGCAUGCAAGAUCUUACGGUUCAGUUUCUCAAAUGAUGUGUAUCAGGAAGCUACAUAAAAUAUGUGUGUUAAGAAUCUCGCGAUGAUCUGGAGAGGAGGGCAUGCAGCAAAACCUGAACAAUAGAAAAUAUCCUGUGAAGGAUCCUAGCCUUUAGGCUUUAGCCCUCAAGGCUAGCUGCCACUGAUUCAUAAAGCUUCUAUGUAAAUUCGGCCUGCGUACCCAAGGAAAAUAUUCUUUGCCCAGCCUGACGGAUAACCAAAUUACAAAGAGCUAUAUGAUCAUUGAAUAUUAAAUAUGAAGCAAGUUAUUUGAAGAAAUGUUAAAUUAAGAAAUACGCAGAUCUGAAAGUAAUGAAUUCAUUGCAACUUCGAUUUUUUUUAAGUUAUAGUUUGUCUUUGUUGUUCAGCAUGACAACCCCUAGUGGUAGGUUUUACCCUCACAAAAGGAUAUGCUUAUCAGUGAGUAACUGUAAGCAUCAUGCUGUAAUCACAUCUUAUAAUUUCCUUUGUAUUCAAUCGGGGUUUGAAUUCCCAUAUGACUUUGCUGUUGCAGUUCAUCCAGAAUCGUAGAAUCCAGUGUGGUCUGUAGCAAGGUAUGCACACACUAGACUGGCCAGUGAGUAUAAUGUGCUUUCUCUUCCCCGCAGAAUAUAUUUCUUCACUGAGUUUCUUAAUACAUUUUUUGGGGUAUCUAAACCAAUACAUGCCAUUUCAGCUCCUAAAUUUGAACGUGGAUUUGCGCCCAUAAGGUGUUUCCAGUUUCAAUUACUUGAGUUUAUGGUCUUCACUUACUUACCGUCAAAUCAUUCUUCAGUAGCAAGUCUUAUUAUCCUAUAGGAAGAUUCAUGAAUCAUGCUUUUCUGCUGCUUGUGAGUGAACAAAACUUUAUAUGUAACUAUAAGAGGAUGGAACUCGCAAGAACAUCAAAGCGUACCUUCACUUUUCGAGCAAUACAAGUGAUCUUUCAUUGUCAAGUUGUGCAUGUAUGUUGCCAGAGAAUUCUGACUAUUUUUCAUCACUGGUCUGACUCUGACAUAUGAACAGCACUCCUAUCAUUUAUGGUAAGUUGUUACUUUUUGAUCAGCUACAAAUAGCAAAAAGAGCAUCUUAUUAGGAGAUGAACCAAGCCUAGAAAUUUGCACUCUUAACAACUUACUAAGCACUAAACUACUUCUGCAAGCAAUUCUCCAGAGUGUUCAGAUAACUAACACUGGCAUUUCACUUGCAAGGAUGCAGUACUAUGAUCGAUUUUUCUGUUCUACUGAUAAAUCUUACUUAAUUUGCCUGCUGGUCACCUAAAUCAGUAUUCUGGUGCAUAAGUGAAUGAUUUGUUGUUGCAGCAGACUAUUUUCUAUCCCUUAUAACUAUUGGUUGUUUCACCAAAAACAAUCGUUCAAGCAUUUUAGUCCACAAACUAAACAAGCGGAGCAUUCAUAGAGGAUACAGAAAAUCUCAGAGACUUGAUGAGUGCUUGGGAAC
rnacentral:lncRNA from 1 species